CAGGGCAGAGAGCCGGCGGCUCCCCCCGCCAAAAAUAAACAAAGAAGCAGCUUGGCUUCAGGCGGCUCCUGCCCGAACAUCCCUUCCGCUAAGGGAAGGAAAGAAGCAGCACUAACCAUAAAACGCACCUUCUGCUCAGCAGAGAUGUGGCCUCCUUCCUCCCCGCGAUGGAUCUGGUCAGUGGAAAGGAGGAGCUCUCCCAGCACACCUGAAUUUACACCGUAGUAAAUGUGAUUGAUGUGGGAAGRGCAGGAGGAGGUGGAGGGGCUUCCUGGAAAACGCAGAAAGCCCCAAUUAGCAGGGAGGUCCUGGGGAAGCCCGCAAAGGGAAAGCACCUGCAGCCUGUGGCAGCUCCUGCCUUCAAAGUCAGGGAUGAGCUGAGCACGUAACCCUCGCUGGUCCCCUUUGCUGACAACUCCCAGGGCUGUGGCUGGACCGACCUUGGAUGAGACGUACCAUGCAGGGUCAGAGAUACCURGAGCCGGUCACCUGACCUUGCAUCUUUAAUUUGGACAGGAGUCAAAGUGCUUUGUACCAGGGCYGCAACUCUACUCCAUGUACAGACAUCUCGGAUCAGCCAGGAGGCUGCGUAUGAGAUUUUGCCUAUCAGAUAAAAUAGUGGAAGGCCCUCGGCUGUGCAGUAAUGGACUAGAGCCCCAGCUGGCAACGGUCCUGUAAUUUGGAGCCGUAACUCUGCUCCGUACCUCCCGUGCCAGGCCCAGCAUGGGUCCCCAAAAGCACUGUGGAGAUGCGAGUGAAGGAGAUGCUCGUGGCAAAGCAGGGAAGAACCAAGCGGAGGUCAACUGAGCAUCACUCAGAAGAUGAGAUUUGACAGCCGUGGCCUCAGCAAGACAAMCCAGCCGUGCGAGGACCAGGUCCCAGGACUGAAACGCUUUCAAGACAACUACGCUACGAGCUGGGAUGUUCCUGAUUGGUUUUACAUUUCAGCAGCAGAAGCGUUGACUUCUAAAAGUACUUUUCUUCGUUAARACUCAGUUGUCCCAAGGGCUUCUUGCACAAAUAGCUGUAUGUCACAAAGACUAUUAUUUGUUUUGUGCUACAGUAGUGACUUGAGCCCUCCUAGGAUCUCAGGCCGUUGCGUCGGGCGCUGCAUGCGUGCAGAAGAAGAGGCAGACCUUCACCGCUGAGUCAGAUCCCCCUCUCACUCAUGCUAGCGUGACACUGAUGUAAAACAGAGGAGAACCAGGCCCGCUUGCUCCAGUAAGAUGAAGUUAGAAAACUUUCACAGCUCACAGUCAUUUCCUUGAAUCAUUUCGACAAAUCUGUCUCUCUGACUAAACUUUCUCAGAGGAAUUUCCAGGGAGAGAGGGAAAGAUCAUCCAGGGCCAGAGCACUUGCCUGAGAGGUGGCCGAAGUACCCAGACGGCUCUCCUAGAACGGAGACUUGCAUUUGUGUCUUCGCAGUGAAGCUGUCCCUUCAGCUUUCAUUGYACCUGCUCUUCACCAACAAUUUGAAAAGCUCCAGGAUGAAAAUAAGUUUUGAAAUCCCAUCUUUCCACAGAGCUCCACUAUUUCCCAAUAACUAUUUAUUCAAAGGGGCUGCAAGCAGACAAACAAGCCUGUGCUGAUGAUCGCAGUAAAGGAGAAGUACACAAGACACUUAAAUUUCAGCCUAUGAAUAUAUGAACUCUUGUUAGUUUUACAUAGGUGAGCAGGGCCAUGAAUUUGAAUUAAACGAUUAUAUGUAGGAAGCUGGAAGGCCAUCUCUAAUGUUUCUAAACUAUCACAUUUGUUUGAUAAACCUCCUGGCGUAUACCAGCCUCCUGUUCUAAAUGAUAGGAUAUAUAUUUUUYCUUGAAAAGUGGCUUAUUGCAGAUAGUCAAAACUCUUUCCACUUGACUGAUAAUUUUGAUUUGCUGACUAUUUGCAUUAGCUGGGAUCCCUGAGAGGCUUCACAGCCUUUUUUUCCCUGAAUUAUCCUGACAAAUUGAAGCAUUACACAGAUAAAGUAAUGUAAAAMCCAAGGGAAUAUUUUUGCACACAUCUAGGGAAAUAAAAACAAAUACAUUUGUGUUUGCCA
rnacentral:lncRNA from 1 species